AGUGAACGCUGGCGGUAGGCCUAACACAUGCAAGUCGAACGGCAGCACAGUAAGAGCUUGCUCUUACGGGUGGCGAGUGGCGGACGGGUGAGGAAUACAUCGGAAUCUACUUUUUCGUGGGGGAUAACGUAGGGAAACUUACGCUAAUACCGCAUACGACCUACGGGUGAAAGCAGGGGAUCUUCGGACCUUGCGCGAUUGAAUGAGCCGAUGUCGGAUUAGCUAGUUGGCGGGGUAAAGGCCCACCAAGGCGACGAUCCGUAGCUGGUCUGAGAGGAUGAUCAGCCACCCUGGAACUGGAGCACCGUCCAGACUACUUCGGGAAGCAGCAGUGGGGAAUGUUGGGCAACGGGCGGAAACCUGGUCCAGGCAUUCCGCGUUGGGUGAGGAAGCCCUCCGGGUGGUAAGGCCUUUUGUUGGGUAAAAAAAGCAGCAGGCUGAUACCCCGCCUUUUUGACGGUACCCGAAAAAUAAGCACCGGCUAACUUCGUG
rnacentral:rRNA from 1 species